AGUGUACGCUGGCGGUAGGCCUAACACAUGCAAGUCGAACGGCAGCACAGUAAGAGCUUGCUCUUACGGGUGGCGAGUGGCGGACGGGUGAGGAAUACAUCGGAAUCUACUUUUUCGUGGGGGAUAACGUAGGGAAACUUACGCUAAUACCGCAUACGACCUACGGGUGAAAGCAGGGGAUCUUCGGACCUUGCGCGAUUGAAUGAGCCGAUGUCGGAUUAGCUAGUUGGCGGGGUAAAGGCCCACCAAGGCGACGAUCCGUAGCUGGUCUGAGAGGAUGAUCAGCCACACUGGAACUGAGACACGGUCCAGACUCCUACGGGAGGCAGCAGUGGGGAAUAUUGGACAAUGGGCGCAAGCCUGAUCCAGCCAUACCGCGUGGGUGAAGAAGGCCUUCGGGUUGUAAAGCCCUUUUGUUGGGAAAGAAAAGCAGCAGAUUAAUACCCCGCUGUUCUGACGGUACCCAAAGAAUAAGCACCGGCUAACUUCGUG
rnacentral:rRNA from 1 species